CAAACUUUCAUGCGAUGCUAACAUGGCCUGGAACAAUUAUUAUGGGUUGGUUUGGUGUAAUAUAAGCAUGUGGAACAUAUUUUACAGAAGCCUCCAUUUCCUCCACAAACUUCUUUAUGAUGGUGAAUAACGCUCCAAAUGAAUCGGAACAUGUUUGAAUCUUUACCUUGUUGUUGAAGAUGGAUAAAUCUAUCAGGGGGUGUUUCAUCUUCUCUGGGAGGUGAGGAACAAUGAAGCAUUAUCGAUGAGUAUAUGAAGUAAUGAUGAAGGAGAUCCCGCCACCAUGUUCGAUGAUAGAGAGAAGGAAUGAAGAGUGGCGAGCGCAC